rfam:Lachancea nothofagi CBS 11611 genome assembly, chromosome: H
GCAUAAUGAUGAAUCAUUUUUAGCUUUUUUUUCUGGCAUCUCUAAUGUUAGGGCAGGCGUUUAAGUACUCCGUUCGAUGAAUACAAUUUUGACAUAACUGACA